UACGGAGGGUGCAAGCAUUAAUCGGAAUUAUUGGGCGUAAAGGGCGCGUAGGCGGGAGAGUAAGUCAGAUGUGAAAUACCGGGGCUCAACUUCGGUGCUGCAUUUGAGACUGCUUUUCUAGAGGGUAGAAGGAGAAAAUGGAAUUCCACAAGUAGCGGUGAAAUGCGUAGAUAUGUGGAAGAACACCGGUGGCGAAGGCGGUUUUCUAUUUUAUUCCUGACGCUGAGGCGCGAAAGCAAGGGGAUCAAACAGG
rnacentral:rRNA from 1 species